AUCGCUUCUCGGCCUUUUGGCUAAGAUCAAGUGUAGUAUCUGUUCUAUCUGUUCUUAUCAGUUUAAUAUCUGAUACGUCCCCUAUCUGGGGACCAUAUAUUAAAUGGAUUUUUGAGAACGGGGGCCGAUUUCGAAGCUUGCUUCCGUCGCCCUAUGCAUUGACCCGAUAUGGCAGUAUCUUCGGGUACAGUGCACCACCC